AAUCCAUAGGUUAAUGAGGCGAACCGGGGGAACUGAAACAUCUAAGUACCCCGAGGAAAAGAAAUCAACCGAGAUUCCCCCAGUAGCGGCGAGCGAACGGGGAGGAGCCCAGAGCCUGAAUCAGCAUGUGUGUUAGUGGAAGCGUCUGGAAAGGCGCGCGAUACAGGGUGACAGCCCCGUACACAAAAGCGCAUGUGCUGUGAGCUCGAUGAGUAGGGCGGGACACGUGGUAUCCUGUCUGAAUAUGGGGGGACCAUCCUCCAAGGCUAAAUACUCCUGACUGACCGAUAGUGAACCAGUACCGUGAGGGAAAGGCGAAAAGAACCCCGGCGAGGGGAGUGAAAAAGAACCUGAAACCGUGUACGUACAAGCAGUGGGAGCACAGGUUUACCUGUGUGACUGCGUACCUUUUGUAUAAUGGGUCAGCGACUUAUAUUCUGUAGCAAGGUUAACCGUAUAGGGGAGCCGUAGGGAAACCGAGUCUUAACCGGGCGUUAAGUUGCAGGGUAUAGACCCGAAACCCGGUGAUCUAGCCAUGGGCAGGUUGAAGGUUGGGUAACACUAACUGGAGGACCGAACCGACUAAUGUUGAAAAAUUAGCGGAUGACCUGUGGCUGGGGGUGAAAGGCCAAUCAAACCGGGAGAUAGCUGGUUCUCCCCGAAAGCUAUUUAGGUAGCGCCUCGUGAACUCAUCUCCGGGGGUAGAGCACUGUUUCGGCUAGGGGGCCAUCCCGGCUUACCAACCCGAUGCAAACUGCGAAUACCGGAGAAUGUUAUCACGGGAGACACACGGCGGGUGCUAACGUCCGUCGUGAAGAGGGAAACAACCCAGACCGCCAGCUAAGGUCCCAAAGUCAUGGUUAAGUGGGAAACGAUGUGGGAAGGCCCAGACAGCCAGGAUGUUGGCUUAGAAGCAGCCAUCAUUUAAAGAAAGCGUAAUAGCUCACUGGUCGAGUCGGCCUGCGCGGAAGAUGUAACGGGGCUAAACCAUGCACCGAAGCUGCGGCAGCGAACGUAUCACUUAAAGCGAUUCAGCGGGUUACGAUUGACGGAGCGAAGCGACGUCAAAGCGUAUACAAAGUCGAGUCGGUUUAAGGAUACGUUCGUUGGGUAGGGGAGCGUUCUGUAAGCCUGUGAAGGUGGCCUGUGAGGGUUGCUGGAGGUAUCAGAAGUGCGAAUGCUGACAUAAGUAACGAUAAAGCGGGUGAAAAGCCCGCUCGCCGGAAGACCAAGGGUUCCUGUCCAACGUUAAUCGGGGCAGGGUGAGUCGACCCCUAAGGCGAGGCCGAAAGGCGUAGUCGAUGGGAAACGGGUUAAUAUUCCCGUACUUGGUGUUACUGCGAAGGGGGGACGGAGAAGGCUAUGUUGGCCGGGCGACGGUUGUCCCGGUUUAAGCGUGUAGGCUGGUUUUCCAGGCAAAUCCGGAAAAUCAAGGCUGAGGCGUGACGACGAGGCACUACGGUGCUGAAGCAACAAAUGCCCUGCUUCCAGGAAAAGCCUCUAAGCAUCAGGUAACAUCAAAUCGUACCCCAAACCGACACAGGUGGUCAGGUAGAGAAUACCAAGGCGCUUGAGAGAACUCGGGUGAAGGAACUAGGCAAAAUGGUGCCGUAACUUCGGGAGAAGGCACGCUGACAUGUAGGUGAAGUGAUUUACUCAUGGAGCUGAAGUCAGUCGAAGAUACCAGCUGGCUGCAACUGUUUAUUAAAAACACAGCACUGUGCAAACACGAAAGUGGACGUAUACGGUGUGACGCCUGCCCGGUGCCGGAAGGUUAAUUGAUGGGGUCAGCGCAAGCGAAGCUCCUGAUCGAAGCCCCGGUAAACGGCGGCCGUAACUAUAACGGUCCUAAGGUAGCGAAAUUCCUUGUCGGGUAAGUUCCGACCUGCACGAAUGGCGUAAUGAUGGCCAGGCUGUCUCCACCCGAGACUCAGUGAAAUUGAACUCGCUGUGAAGAUGCAGUGUACCCGCGGCAAGACGGAAAGACCCCGUGAACCUUUACUAUAGCUUGACACUGAACAUUGAGCCUUGAUGUGUAGGAUAGGUGGGAGGCUUUGAAGCGUGGACGCCAGUCUGC
rnacentral:rRNA from 1 species